GCAGGCCUGACUGUGGUAUACUGAGAGCAGGAAGUGCCAUCACUGCCCAGUGGGAAGGAGAGGCCAUGUAUUGCAUCUGAGAGCCCAGAAAGGAACAGCAAAAUGGAAGCUGGGGAUCCAGACUGAAAGUCAGAGGUAUGGACCUGAGGAUGUCACCCCAGUGAUCCUAUCCUGCAUCUGACACUGCAGCAAGGCUCACGGCCACAUCUGGUGAUGCCAAGACCACCCAUGUCCUUAAAGGGAUGGCACCUCCCUGUCUGAAAUUAAUUUCUGACUACAGUUCUGUCCUCAGGAGUCAGGGCAAAACCUCUCAUUAUUCAUCUCUUUUCUCUGUUAAUUCCAGCUCCCCUACCUUGAUACCUGUCCUUCCUGGUUUGUUUAAAUGAUCUCACAAUUGACCUCUAAGGACAGCUAUACAGGGAGAGGGGAAGAGAUAGCCUCACUGAGAGAUCCCAAUUCCCUGGUCUCCUCUGCCAGCCACUUUUUUCCCAUAGAGAAACUUCAGAGAAGAUGUUCUAGAAAGAUGCCCUUGUCUUCUCAGAUUCAUUUGUUUCCAAGGACUGGGAAGAUGCCUCAAUUGGGCCUCUGCUCUCACUGUAGGUCCAUGGUGCAACUUCUCCUGGACACUGCCCCAUCACUGCUCCUCCUGUCCCAGGCUUAGAAAGUCAGUGUCUUACCCAGUCUGUGUUGUGGAUCCUGUGGAACUGAGUGCUGGUUGUCCUGAAAAUCAGGGAUAAUGGGUGAGCUCCACUUGGGCCAAUAGAUAUAGAGCAGGCUCUGUGGGUAGAACUGGUGGCUCAGAGUCUUCAGCAUGCAGAACUCACAGAUUGGUACAUUGUCUGCUUAUACAGCCAGCUUUCUGUUACUUCUCUUGGCCAAGCCAUGGUGCUGCUGGCUCCAUUGUAAGGAAUCAAAUUCCAAGUCCUCUUGUGCAGGUAGUUUGAAGUCUGAAUCUGAACUCUACAUAGAAAUCCUUUUGCUUUCCUGCA
rnacentral:lncRNA from 1 species